rnacentral:rRNA from 1 species
CCUACGGGUGGCUGCAGUGGGGAAUAUUGGACAAUGGGCGAAAGCCUGAUCCAGCCAUGCCGCGUGUGUGAAGAAGGCCUUCGGGUUGUAAAGCACUUUCAGUGGGGAAGAAAGCCUUGGGGCUAAUACCCUCGAGGAAGGACAUCACCCACAGAAGAAGCACCGGCUAACUCCGUGCCAGCAGCCGCGGUAAUACGGAGGGUGCGAGCGUUAAUCGGAAUUACUGGGCGUAAAGCGCGCGUAGGCGGUCUGAUAAGCCGGUUGUGAAAGCCCCGGGCUCAACCUGGGAACGGCAUCCGGAACUGUCAGGCUUGAGUGCAGGAGAGGAAGGUAGAAUUCCCGGUGUAGCGGUGAAAUGCGUAGAGAUCGGGAGGAAUACCAGUGGCGAAGGCGGCCUUCUGGACUGGCACUGACGCUGAGGUGCGAAAGCGUGGGUAGCCAACAGGAUUAGAUACCCCGGUAGUC